UUGGCCGGGCGACGGUUGUCCCGGUUUAAGCGUGUAGGUGUGUGUUCCAGGUAAAUCCGGUUCACUUUAACACUGAGGCGUGACGACGAGGCACUACGGUGCUGAAGCAACAAAUGCCCUGCUUCCAGGAAAAGCCUCUAAGCAUCAGGUAACAUCAAAUCGUACCCCAAACCGACACAGGUGGUCAGGUAGAGAAUACCAAGGCGCUUGAGAGAACUCGGGUGAAGGAACUAGGCAAAAUGGUGCCGUAACUUCGGGAGAAGGCACGCUGACACGUAGGUGAAGUGAUUUACUCAUGGAGCUGAAGUCAGUCGAAGAUACCAGCUGGCUGCAACUGUUUAUUAAAAACACAGCACUGUGCAAACACGAAAGUGGACGUAUACGGUGUGACGCCUGCCCGGUGCCGGAAGGUUAAUUGAUGGGGUCAGCGCAAGCGAAGCUCCUGAUCGAAGCCCCGGUAAACGGCGGCCGUAACUAUAACGGUCCUAAGGUAGCGAAAUUCCUUGUCGGGUAAGUUCCGACCUGCACGAAUGGCGUAAUGAUGGCCAGGCUGUCUCCACCCGAGACUCAGUGAAAUUGAACUCGCUGUGAAGAUGCAGUGUACCCGCGGCAAGACGGAAAGACCCCGUGAACCUUUACUAUAGCUUGACACUGAACAUUGAGCCUUGAUGUGUAGGAUAGGUGGGAGGCUUUGAAGUGUGGACGCCAGUCUGCAUGGAGCCGACCUUGAAAUACCACCCUUUAAUGUUUGAUGUUCUAACGUGGACCCGUUACCCGGGUUGCGGACAGUGUCUGGUGGGUAGUUUGACUGGGGCGGUCUCCUCCUAAAGAGUAACGGAGGAGCACGAAGGUUGGCUAAUCCUGGUCGGACAUCAGGAGGUUAGUGCAAUGGCAUAAGCCAGCUUGACUGCGAGCGUGACGGCGCGAGCAGGUGCGAAAGCAGGUCAUAGUGAUCCGGUGGUUCUGAAUGGAAGGGCCAUCGCUCAACGGAUAAAAGGUACUCCGGGGAUAACAGGCUGAUACCGCCCAAGAGUUCAUAUCGACGGCGGUGUUUGGCACCUCGAUGUCGGCUCAUCACAUCCUGGGGCUGAAGUAGGUCCCAAGGGUAUGGCUGUUCGCCAUUUAAAGUGGUACGCGAGCUGGGUUUAGAACGUCGUGAGACAGUUCGGUCCCUAUCUGCCGUGGGCGCUGGAGAACUGAGGGGGGCUGCUCCUAGUACGAGAGGACCGGAGUGGACGCAUCACUGGUGUUCGGGUUGUCAUGCCAAUGGCACUGCCCGGUAGCUAAAUGCGGAAGA
rnacentral:rRNA from 1 species